AGACGUCUACAUUAGAUACCCGGGUAGUCCCAGCCGUAAACUAUGCGCGUUAGGUGUAUCGGUGACCACGAGUCACCGAGGUGCCGAAGGGAAACCGUGAAACGUGCCGCCUGGGAAGUACGGUCGCAAGGCUGAAACUUAAAGGAAUUGGCGGGGAGCACCGCAACGGGAGGAGCCUGCGGUUUAAUUGGACUCAACGCCGGGAAGCUCACCGGAUAAGACAGCGGAAUGAUUGCCGGGCUGAAGACUCUGCAUGACUAGCUG
rnacentral:rRNA from 1 species